UACGUAGGGUGCGAGCGUUGUCCGGAAUUACUGGGCGUAAAGCGCGCGCAGGCGGCCUUUUAAGUCUGAUGUGAAAUCUUGCGGCUCAACCGCAAGCGGCCAUUGGAAACUGGGAGGCUUGAGUACAGAAGAGGAGAGUGGAAUUCCACGUGUAGCGGUGAAAUGCGUAGAUAUGUGGAGGAACACCAGUGGCGAAGGCGACUCUCUGGUCUGUAACUGACGCUGAGGCGCGAAAGCGUGGGGAGCAAACAGG
rnacentral:rRNA from 1 species